CCUACGGGAGGCAGCAGUGGGGAAUNUUGNGCAAUGGGGGCAAGCNUGAUGCAGCCAUGCCGCGUGAGUCAAGAAGGCCUUCGGGUUGUAAAGCACUUUCAGUNGGAGGAAAG
rnacentral:rRNA from 1 species